AUGGCUACCCGAUGCGAGGGAGACGAUUUUGCAAGUAACGGAGCAAAACUAACGUAUUUAACGAAAGUCGAGAGAACCAGUAUUUAUUCGCAGCGCUGUGAUAGAAACGUUUUAGUGUUCUUUAACUUCUGUUUUACAACCGUGUGUGCUCUGGGAGGACCGCUUCAGGAUGUAGACGCAGUUUGGCGCGUUACUUUUAUGCUAACGUUAACGGACAUUAGCUCCAAAGUAACGUAACGUUGUGACUGAAGCCUUCGUCUGACAGUCGGCAGAGAAUGCACUUUGGCCCGGACUAUAGAGAGUGCUGCUGAAGGGAUUUCAUCAUGUCCAUAAUCACCUGACUUGCGAAAGCAGCUCUUGUAUCGGAUUAAGUAUUGAGUGACACUACAGCUAUCCCAAGUUAUGUUUUCAAUUUGCACAUCUCUGCAUAAGAGUUAGUAUAUUUUGUUUGAAUUAUUCAGGAUUAUGUAGACUUCAUGCAUUUUAUACUGCCUAGAUUUGAAAGACUUGAGUUAAGGUAUUUAAAGGAACAUACGGGCUUCAUUUGAACUUACUAGGAUGCUUCCUUAUUUAACGAAAAUUCCCUUAGUGGUAACAACAUUAAUCUACAUACAUUUAUGUGUUUGUGUUUGAAUGUCUGCAGGUGUUUUCUGAGUUCCAUCGUCAUCAUGACUAAUGUUGAACCUAUGGAGCCAAUUCAACUGUGAGCUUGACACCACAGCUGAUUGUCCUGUCCAGGUGGAGGGCCUCACAGAUGGGCAAGACAGCAGAGGCACUGCAGAGAUCCUAGGAUUUAUGACCUCCAGAAACAACAUGAUGUACACAUGAGACGCAUUCUGGCCCUUCGUGCCCUCCCAGUGGACCUGCAAGGGGAUGACUGAUUUCUUCAAGACCCGCAAUUGCAAAGAUGAACCAGAUAUUGCUGACACGCCUGUGGUCACUGACGACGUCCCUGCUGCGGUCCACUUCAACCCUGAGAGCGUUUCUGUUGUAGUCGAAGAGGAAAUUGUGAGUGACUAUCCAAAGAAACUAAAUUACACAUUCACCUUUUUUCAGAAAAUAAUAAUAUCUUGAUGAUAGCAAACUACUGAAGCUGUGCCUAAAGUACUUGUUGAAAGAAGUUUGAAUGUACUUAUGUACAUGUUUGUUUCUGUGAAAUAUAGAAAUGGCAGGAGAUGUAAAAAGUUUUGUUAAUGAUUGUUCAAUAAAGAAAACUUGACUUG